UUUGUGUUGCUGUGGUGAAAGUACCUCUGUGACGCAUGAAUACAAAAAUAGUGUGUCAACACACAGAAAGGUCCCCUUCCAAAAAUGUGUUGUUACCACUUAUUAAACCAAAAAUGUGAAUUUCCCCCAAUGCCAUCUACCUUAUCGUGCAAGUAUUAUACCUGCUAAACAUCAGCAUUUUAGCCCUAUCAUUGUGAGCAUGUUGCCAUUGCUAACAUUAGCAUUUAGCUUAAAGCGCCAGCCUUACAGUCAUCCACCAAAGCACAUUCUAUAUGCAAGGAGACAACAUAUUCACUUUUGAUCUACAUAAACUUUUUUCAGUUAAUUUAGUUUUCUGCAUGUCUAGCUACAGCUAGUUAGUGAUCACGGUGCUGAGACCAAUGCAUCAUCAGGAGGCUGCCUUAUUAACAAAUUCUUUGUAGGUGCUCAGUAUCAAUUAAAUGCACAUGGCUUUCUCACUCUUGGCUCUUUUACGUUACAUGGACAUGACAAUGGUUAAACCACAAAUGGAAACAAGCCACAAACCAGCAAGAAGACAGCAAUUCAGGUUGGACUAUACUUGAGAUUCUCCACCAAAGCACAGUAAUCAUUUCCAACUGAUUUUGAGCCAAGGCCUCGCAGGUGAAAUCAUUCUGCUGCAGUCACUUCUCUUCACUACCCUCGAGGACAGAAGCAGCAGCGGACCCCAACACACUCCCCUCUUAGUGGGUAGUUCUUGAUAAAUGUGAUUCUCCUAACUGCUGCACAGAGACUCAUUUGAGGUGUCACCACGUCAUCCAUGAUCACAGAGAGUGUUCGUACAAUGAAGAAGUUCUUUGAAACCAGGACUGAGGCCUCCAGGAUUCAAACUCCAACCAUUAAAUCACAGAGAGAAGAGACAGAUGUGAAGACAUUUCCAGAAGGUCUUCAGCUGCUGUUGUCUUCUCCUCCUGCAGAUACAAGAACACGUGUUACUGAACUGAUCAAAAUAUUUUUGUGAGUUACUAUUCUGAUUUUUUUUAAUGUUUUUGAUGCCUUAGUAUACUUUGACUUUUUUUAUGCCUUACUAUACUAAGACAUUUUUUGACAGUUUUCUAUGCUUACUGUACUAUGACAUUUUAUUAUGCCAUACUAUAUUAUGACUUUUUUUGGUGAUUUUUGACCCUUGCUAUACUAAGACAUUUUUUUGACCACAUACUAUACUGUGACAUUUUGUGACAGUUUUCUAUGCCAUACUAUAUUAUGACAUUUUUUGAUGGUUUUUGACACCUUACUGUACUAGAACAUUUUUUGACAGUUUUCUAUGCUUACUGUACUAUGACAUUUUAUUAUGCCAUACUAUAUUAUGACUUUUUUUGGUGAUUUUUGACCCUUGCUAUACUAAGACAUUUUUUUGACCACAUACUAUACUGUGACAUUUUGUGACAGUUUUCUAUGCCAUACUAUAUUAUGACAUUUUUUGAUGGUUUUUGACACCUUACUGUACUAGAACAUUUUUUGACAGUUUUCUAUGCUUACUGUACUAUGACAUUUUAUUAUGCCAUACUAUAUUAUGACUUUUUUUGGUGAUUUUUGACCCUUGCUAUACUAAGACAUUUUUUUGACCACAUACUAUACUGUGACAUUUUGUGACAGUUUUCUAUGCCAUACUAUAUUAUGACAUUUUUUGAUGGUUUUUGACACCUUACUGUACUAGAACAUUUUUUGACAGUUUUCUAUGCUUACUGUACUAUGACAUUUUAUUAUGCCAUACUAUAUUAUGACUUUUUUUGGUGAUUUUUGACCCUUGCUAUACUAAGACAUUUUUUUGACCACAUACUAUACUGUGACAUUUUGUGACAGUUUUC